UUCCUCAAUACUGAGGGUCGAGACCACC
rnacentral:sRNA from 1 species